UACGUAGGGGGCAAGCGUUGUCCGGAUUUAUUGGGCGUAAAGAGCGUGUAGGCGGUUAGGUAGGUCCGUUGUGAAAACUCGAGGCUCAACCUCGAGACGCCGAUGGAAACCAUCUGACUAGAGUCCGGAAGAGGAGAGUGGAAUUCCUGGUGUAGCGGUGAAAUGCGCAGAUAUCAGGAAGAACACCCGUGGCUAAGGCGGCUCUCUAGUACGGUACUGACGCUGAGGCACGAAAGCGUGGGUAGCAAACAGG
rnacentral:rRNA from 1 species